ACCUGGGUGGCUCAGUUGGUUAAGCAUCUGACUUUGGCUCAGGUCAUGAUCUCAUGGUUUGUGAGUUCGAGCCCCACAUCAGGCU
rnacentral:tRNA from 1 species